rnacentral:lncRNA from 1 species
AUAUGUACAACGUGGAAACAAGGAACAGCCAUUGCUACUUAUUUUUGAUGGACACAGAUCACACAUCAACAUGCCAGUUAUUGAAUGGGCACAACACAACAACAUUUUGCUCUUUGUGUUACCAGCACACACAAGUCAUGCACUGCAGCCACUUGAUGUUGGCUGUUUUGGCCCGUUGCAAAAGAUUUAUAACUAUGAGUGCCAUAAAUUUCUCAUAGAAUGCCCAGAGACAAAAAUCACUCGGUAUAAUGUUGCAGCGCUUGGGUCUUCAUCUUAUGUCAAGGGCUUGUCUAAUUCAAACUUGAGGUCAGCAUUUGAGAAGACGGGCAUAUACCCUUUCAACCCAAGUGCAAUCAGCGAUGACCAGUUUACACCAUCAAAGCCUUACUCAGAUGAAUUGAAACUCACUGAAACCCAAGAGAGUACUGCAAAUUGCCAACAUGGAAAUGAAAACACAUGUAGGGAAUUCUUCAGAGCAGCAGAAGAGUUUGUGGAGAAAAAAAGGUGACAUAUAACAGUAAAAAACUCAAUAAAGGUAUAAGUGGUGUUGUAGCUGGAAAGGAAAUAACAAAUCAUAACAUUGUAAAUGAAAUAGCUGAAAUUCAAAAGUCAAAGCCUAACAAGCAAAAGCAGAAAAUGUCAAAGAGUCUGAGUGCAUCUAGUUCAGAACCAAAGCAAAGGAUGACAAGUAAAGUACCCUCUGUGUCUGAACAUGUUGAAAGAAAGAAAAGAAAACUUGACUCUGCAGCUUCAUCACAAAAACCAGGUCCAUCUGGAUGCCAGAUUAUUCCAGUUAGUGACAGUGAGUCUGACCUUUCAGCUGAAGAGGAGAUGUCUGCAGAUGACUUGUGCUGUGUAUGCAAGCAAUUCCAGCCAAAGGAAAUGAAAAACUGU